ACUUGAUGGUGAGGGCAUUAAUGCAAAAGGUCCCUAAAGAGUUCCAAGGUCUCGAAAAAAUGUUCACCAUCUAUCUAUGAGCAACUAGUGAUUUCCUUCUUACGUU